UUUUGAUUUUCGUCCUUUGAAAAUACAGUAUUAUUCUAACUGCGCGUAUAAAUCAAUAAAGACCGAAAGCCAUUAAUAAAAAAGACAUGAAUGGAGCUUGACGGCCACAAGAACAAAGCAUGUAAGUCAUUGAAAUGAUUUAUCAAUUCUUGUAUUGUGAAUUUGUGUUGCAACUGACUAUAUUCUUUAACACACGAGUAUUAUAACAAUCCCCAGCAAGUAAAAUUAAGCAAAUAUAGCUUGUUGAAAACCGUACUGCUAUAAAUUUCCCAAUGUAAAUUUCCCUGAGUGACAAAGGUUUUUUUAGAGAUUUUAAUACCAGUUUAUUCUAUUAGUAAAUUGUGGGGAAAAGCAACUCUUUGGAAUAUAAAGCACUUAUAUCACCAUUAAAGUUUUUUACACCUGUAUGUAUUCCGCUUUCAGGUAUGAAUUUAUCAAGAAAAUAUGAGAUAUCUGUACUAAGUACCAGAUGGCAAUGAAGAAAGUCAAGUGUAUUUCUUUAU
rnacentral:lncRNA from 1 species